rnacentral:misc_RNA from 2 species
UGUGGGAGCGAGCCUGCUCGCGAUAGCGCUAUGACAGUCGACAGCUCUGUUGAAUGUUGCGCCGUCAUCGCGAGCAGGCUCGCUCCCACA